rnacentral:tmRNA from 1 species
GGGGUCGUUAUGGAUUCGACGGGUAUAGUUCGAAUUCGAAUGGCGUUACGUAGCGGCGUCUACGCAAAACCGUCCAGUUUUCUAAAUUAUAACUGCAAAAACUAAUUUAAAACCUGCUAUGAUGGCUGCCUAAUAAGCGCUUGUAGCAAUCCGAUUUAGCUUCACCUAUGGGUUAACAUUGGGUUUUAUAUGAAAUAGGUUACGCUAUUCAACUCAAACCUGAAGUUGGUAGAAGAGAUUAAUCAGGUUAGCUAAUCAUGACAGCCUUGGUGUAUGGCGUUUUGAUUAGUGAAAUUCAAAUAAUACUCCUAUGAGCGUAGAAAUUCGAAUGGCGAUAUGCUCGGACGCGGGUUCAAAUCCCGCCGACUCCAUAA